GGUUUAACAGAGAAGGAGUAAAGUAAAGAAUAAGAAGAGCAGCGAAAAAGAUUGGCCAAACAAACAUCAUGUGAAUUGCUAUGUUUGUAGGGUUACUAUGGUAUGCACCAUAGAAGGCGAAGUGCUUUUCUAGAUCAAACAAUCCACACUUUCCCAUUGUGGGUUUUCCGGGGGAGGAAAAAGAAAGCAGAAUUAUCCGGGAAGUUGGUGAAUUUUCUUGGAAAAGUAGGUGGGUUUCGUUUGCACCAUGGAAAAGGGA
rnacentral:misc_RNA from 1 species